rnacentral:rRNA from 1 species
AUGCAGUCGAACGGGAGGAAAAGAGAAGCUUGCUUCUUUUUGAAUCUAGUGGCAAACGGGUGAGUAACACGUAAACAACCCGCCUUCAGGAUGGGGACAACAGACGGAAACGACUGCUAAUACCGAAUGUGUUCCGGAGACCGCAUGAUUUCCGGAAGAAAGGAUGGCCUCUAUUUAUAAGCUAUCGCCUGAAGAGGGGUUUGCGUCUGAUUAGGCAGUUGGUGAGGUAACGGCCCACCAAACCUACGAUCAGUAGCCGGUCUGAGAGGAUGAACGGCCACACUGGAACUGAGACACGGUCCAGACUCCUACGGGAGGCAGCAGUGGGGAAUCUUCCGCAAUGGACGAAAGUCUGACGGAGCAACGCCGCGUGAGUGAUGACGGCCUUCGGGUUGUAAAGCUCUGUGAUCGGGGACGAAUGGCUGGUAUGCUAAUACCAUAUCAGAGUGACGGUACCCGAAUAGCAAGCCACGGCUAACUACGUGCCAGCAGCCGCGGUAAUACGUAGGUGGCAAGCGUUGUCCGGAAUUAUUGGGCGUAAAGCGCGCGCAGGCGGCUUCUUAAGUCCAUCUUAAAAGUGCGGGGCUUAACCCCGUGAUGGGAUGGAAACUGGGAGGCUGGAGUAUCGGAGAGGAAAGUGGAAUUCCUAGUGUAGCGGUGAAAUGCGUAGAGAUUAGGAAGAACACCGGUGGCGAAGGCGACUUUCUGGACGACAACUGACG